AGCAAUUUAGGAGUCAUUUUCAUCAAAAAAUAGAAUCCAGCAAAUUCCCUAACCUGACCCAAUGGAUUUUUGCAACUGGGAAGUCCGGCAGCAGUUCUGACAACAAAGAUGGGCAGAUUGGCCAUUGGAGAAGAAGGGCUAGGGAGGGUCAGAUGGUCGGAAAAUCUGAAAUUCCGGCGGGUUGAUAUUUGGGUAGAAAACCAACCUGAUCAGAUCUAGAGUUCCGACCAAUUUCUGGUGAGUGGAAGGGCAGCUCUAUACUCGCAAUAGGCCAGCGAGUGGUGUGGGGCUGUUUUGAUUGCUGGAUGGUGGCUGGUGAAGGAUAAGGCUGAACAGUAUUGCUUGGUUUACUGAUCGGUAUUGCUUGGUUUCUUUCGGAGACUUUGUUUCUAGUUUGGUAUUUUUAUUUUUUUAAAAUAGUAACUAAGGAAUUUCGAGUUGAAGAAGAUAACAGUAGAAGAUUUGAAUGUUUGCGGAAGCUUUAGAGUGAAGUUGGCCUUUGAUAUCAAAAUUGAUGUAGAACA
rnacentral:misc_RNA from 1 species